CAAGACCAACUGAAUCCAAGAUCACGGGAACAUAACCAAGCUAUCCAAAGACCAGUAGCUGUUAUAACACCGCAGUCUAGAGCAAUCUUGCAAACUACACAAGUUGAGGACACCCUGACACCUGAUUAUGAUUCAUGCGCAUCAGGUGAUAUAAUGUAUAUUUGCCUUUUAUUUCGUUCUAUUUUCACCAUCCGUUCAGUGCAAAAAUCUCUCUCACAUUUACUUUGGUUUCUGUUCUUUUUUAGAUGUGUGUGAUGCUGACGAAGGACAAGCGGAGGAGGAAGGCUUUGAACAUGUUGAUAACACAUUUCAAAAUGGUCCAGACAAUGACAUUGUGGUUAUUUCUGAUGAUGAGUGUCCUGAAACGUCCACACAAGACCAACUGAAUCCAAGACCACGGGAACAUAACCAAGCUAUCCAAAGACCAGUAGCUGUUAUAACACCGCAGUCUAGAGCAAGCUUGCAAACUACACAAGUUGAGGUCACCCUGACAGUCAGUGAUGAUGAUUCAUGCGCAUCAGAUUUGAGUGAUGCUGACAAAGGACAAGCGGAGGAGGAAGGCUUUGAACAUGUUGAUAAUACAUUUCAAAAUGGUCCAGGAAUGAAGUCAAUGAACAAGAAACCAAAAGCCCAUCCAGUGAAAGGAGUGGUGGGACCGCAGAAGAGAAAAAAUCCUAAUCCAGCAGAAGGUCAGAAUCUAGCAAAAAAGAAGAGAAAGUCUCCAGCAUGUGUGGAUACAUCAUAUUUUCAUAAUUAUUUGUGUGCAGAUAACAUGCCUGUUCUAGCUCUAAUUCAACCCAAUGUGCAUUUUGUUAUGGUUCCUGCGGGUAACAUCACGGUUCAAACAUCUGGCAGGAGCGAUUCUUGCCAGCCUUCAGGUGGCCCAAUGAAUCGAUUUAAUAAUGAAGACACGAUCAACCAGAGAGCGACUAACAAUGCUGCAGUGUUUGAUGAAAACCUGUUGUUUCUAAGGAAAAACCGUGUUGAGUUAAUCGACAGGGUAAAAAAUGUCCCUGAAAUCCUCGAUCGCCUCAAAUUAUCCAACGAAAAAGCAGCGAUAGUGCGAGCAGAGAGGACAGAUCAGGAGAGGAUGAGGAAGCUUCUGGAGUUCACGACCAGCACACAUGGUGCAAAGUUUCUAGUCACAGCCUUGUGGAGCUGCGCAAGCGAUGUCAUGGAAGACCUGACCAACACCAACUACAAUGACCUUGUGGUUAUUUCUGAUGACGAGUGUCCUGAAACGUCCACACAAGGCCAACUGAAUCUAAGAUCACGGGAACAUAAACAAGCUAUCCAAAGACCAGUAGCUGUUAUAACACCGCAGUCUAGACCAAUCUUGCAAACUACACAAGUUGAGGACACCCUGACAGUCAGUGAUGAUGAUUCAUGCGCAUCAGAUGUGAGUGAUGCUGACGAAGGACAAGCGGAGGAGGACGUUCCGGAAAAUAACAGAUUAGAAGAGAUCAGCAUCGCAGUGAGAGAAUUCUUAGACAGAAAAGCUGCUUUAUUGGAGAGCUUUGAACAUUUUGAUAAUAUAUCUCAGAAUGCUCCAGGUUGGGUUUGUGUACAAUCAAUGCACAGUACCCUCGAAUCCAUGAAUAGUUGUGCCACAGCGAACAUAAAUUUGCUAAAAAAAAUCAAUGAAAGGUAUGGCACAGAAAUGCCCGAUUUACAUUUCAGUUACAUAUUCCAAAAAAAGGAAAAGUGAAAAUACUCUGACAUCACCUCAUGAUUAAAUAGUCUUUACGUUGGGACACCCAUAUUUAUCUGAUGCAAUCAACCAGCUGAAUGAAAUUUUAGCUCCGUCACACCAGUUCGUUAGUCCGAGCCCUAGUCAGAGUUCCAAUCACAAUGUAACAAAUACACCAGUGAGCCAAUACGAUAUAUUCUAUGAACUCUGCGAAAGUCUGUUAAGAUUACAGAAUAGCCUAAACGAACAUUCUGUACAAUUAAACCCUGAUUUAAUCGAAGCAGUCAACCAGUUGAAUGAAAAUUUGACUAUCUCCUGAACACAACUUCAAUAUCUUCUCAACUCCUGAACUCUCACAGGAACAUAGACCCUUUUAUGUUCAUCUGUUAUACGAACUUAAUGAAAGUCUUAUGAGGUUAAAUGACAGUCUGGUUAACUUAAUCAAACCCCCUGCCAAUAUUCCACAAAAUUUGGGAAAUGAUAAUGAGUACGUCCCUCCAAUGGAAAACAUAUCAUCACCUAAUAUCCACGAUUUGCAAAUGGAAGACAUGCCAUCACCUAAUAUCCAAGAUGGUAAUGGGAUAGAUCCUAAUAUUAGAAUAAUUAAUAAUGACAGAUUCAACACCAAGAUUAGGAGAAGAGUGAAUUUUUCUUAAUGUCACUAAUCACUAAUUUCAACAGCUUUGUGGAAUUUUAUAAUUAUGAUUUAAACAGUGUGAUUGAAAUCGCUAAUUAUUUAAUUUCAUCUGAAGAUUUUGUCACAGGUGAAAUUAGAGGUGAUACACUCAAUGUUUCAUGGCGCAUUCAGUUAGUCAAUGUUGCCAUCGUUUUACAUUCUUUUAUAACCAUGUCCAAAAAUGCCAUUCAGAGUAAACGUGAAAUAAUAAUUAUUAUUAAAACACUGAAAUAGUCAUCUAAAUUGUCUGACCAACCUUGGGGUGGUGCAUCUAGAAGGACAACAGACAAGAGACUGAUUAAACCGCUGAAUGCUAAUGUAUUCAUUGGCAUUUUCACUAUAGCAUAUGCUAGACUUGAAUUGUACGAUCUGAUGGAUCGAUUACAACAGUGUUGUUUGGACACAGACACCGACGGCAUCAUUUUUAAAAGUAGGGAAGGUAAUUGAAUGCCACCUUUAAGCAAUUACUUUGGUGGUCUUAACAGCGACCUAGAUGAUGGCGAUCAAAUCGUAGAAUUCGUAAGUGCAGGUCCAAAAAAGUUAGGGUUACAAAACUGUCAAAGGAAAAGCAGCUAUGAAAGCUAAAGGCAUUACUUUAAAUUAUACCAAUUCCGAAGUUGUCAAUUUAAAAUCGCUGACAGAGCUGGUGGACAUGCGAGUGAACAAUUCAGAUCAAACUAGUCAACUUAUCACCUCACAUAACCAAAUUGUGCGAGAUAAAAAGUUAUUUAAUUUGAGAAAUAAAUCACAGUUAAAAAAGGUUUAUAAGCCUGCUUUAUUACCUGAUUUCACAACUCUCCCUUAUGAUUAUUAAGACUUUUCAUGUAUAUAUGUAAUGUUGUUUCUGUUUGUGUUUUGUAAUGGAAAAUAUGAACCUUUUUAUGUAUUGUAUGUGGUACAAGUAAAUCGUAUUUUGUUAUUAUAAUAAUUUUAUUAUUAUAUAUGUGUGUUUGCAACCUCUGUAUGAUGAAUCGAUGACCAGAAUAAAUAUAAUUUUUUUUUCAAGGAA
ensembl:lncRNA